rnacentral:rRNA from 1 species
UACGGAGGGUGCGAGCGUUAAUCGGAAUUACUGGGCGUAAAGAGUGCGUAGGUGGUUAUGUGUGUUAGAUGUGAAAUCCAUGGGCUUAACCUGUGAAUUGCAUUUAAAACUGCAUAGCUAGAGUGUUGUAGAGGGUGGCGGAAUUUCCAGUGUAGCGGUGAAAUGCGUAGAUAUUGGAAGGAACACCAGUGGCGAAGGCGGCCACCUGGACAAACACUGACACUGAGGCACGAAAGCGUGGGUAGCGAACAGG